GACGAACGCUGGCGGCGUGCUUAACACAUGCAAGUCGAACGGAAAGGCCCUGCUUUUGUGGGGUGCUCGAGUGGCGAACGGGUGAGUAACACGUGAGUAACCUGCCCUUGACUUUGGGAUAACUUCAGGAAACUGGGGCUAAUACCGGAUAGGAGCUCCUGCUGCAUGGUGGGGGUUGGAAAGUUUCGGCGGUUGGGGAUGGACUCGCGGCUUAUCAGCUUGUUGGUGGGGUAGUGGCUUACCAAGGCUUUGACGGGUAGCCGGCCUGAGAGGGUGACCGGCCACAUUGGGACUGAGAUACGGCCCAGACUCCUACGGGAGGCAGCAGUGGGGAAUAUUGCACAAUGGGCGGAAGCCUGAUGCAUCAACGCCGCGUGCGGGAUGACGGCCUUCGGGUUGUAAACCGCUUUCGCCUGUGACGAAGCGUGAGUGACGGUAAUGGGUAAAGAAGCACCGGCUAACUACGUGCCAGCAGCCGCGGUGAUACGUAGGGUGCGAGCGUUGUCCGGAUUUAUUGGGCGUAAAGGGCUCGUAGGUGGUUGAUCGCGUCGGAAGUGUAAUCUUGGGGCUUAACCCUGAGCGUGCUUUCGAUACGGGUUGACUUGAGGAAGGUAGGGGAGAAUGGAAUUCCUGGUGGAGCGGUGGAAUGCGCAGAUAUCAGGAGGAACACCAGUGGCGAAGGCGGUUCUCUGGGCCUUUCCUGACGCUGAGGAGCGAAAGCGUGGGGAGCGAACAGGCUUAGAUACUCUGGUAGUCCACGCUGUAAACGGUGGGUACUAGGUGUGGGGUCCAUUCCACGGGUUCCGUGCCGUAGCUAACGCUUUAAGUACCCCGCCUGGGGAGUACGGCCGCAAGGCUAAAACUCAAAGGAAUUGACGGGGCCCCGCACAAGCGGCGGAGCAUGCGGAUUAAUUCGAUGCAACGCGUAGAACCUUACCUGGGUUUGACAUGGAUCGGGAGUGCUCAGAGAUGGGUGUGCCUCUUUUGGGGUCGGUUCACAGGUGGUGCAUGGCUGUCGUCAGCUCGUGUCGUGAGAUGUUGGGUUAAGUCCCGCAACGAGCGCAACCCUUGUUCACUGUUGCCAGCACGUUAUGGUGGGGACUCAGUGGAGACCGCCGGGGUCAACUCGGAGGAAGGUGGGGAUGACGUCAAGUCAUCAUGCCCCUUAUGUCCAGGGCUUCACGCAUGCUACAAUGGCUGGUACAGAGAGUGGCGAGCCUGUGAGGGUGAGCGAAUCUCGGAAAGCCGGUCUCAGUUCGGAUUGGGGUCUGCAACUCGACCUCAUGAAGUCGGAGUCGCUAGUAAUCGCAGAUCAGCAGCGCUGCGGUGAAUACGUUCCCGGG
rnacentral:rRNA from 1 species